rnacentral:rRNA from 1 species
AACGAACGCUGGCGGCAUGCCUAACACAUGCAAGUCGAACGAGAUCUUCGGGUCUAGUGGCGCACGGGUGCGUAACGCGUGGGAAUCUGCCCUUUGGUUCGGAAUGACAGUUGGAAACGACUGCUAAUACCGGAUGAUGACGAAAGUCCAAAGAUUUAUCGCCAGAGGAUGAGCCCGCGUAGGAUUAGCUAGUUGGUGUGGUAAAGGCGCACCAAGGCGACGAUCCCUAGCUGGUCUGAGAGGAUGAUCAGCCACACUGGGACUGAGACACGGCCCAGACUCCUACGGGAGGCAGCAGUGGGGAAUAUUGGACAAUGGGCGAAAGCCUGAUCCAGCAAUGCCGCGUGAGUGAUGAAGGCCUUAGGGUUGUAAAGCUCUUUUACCCGGGAUGAUAAUGACAGUACCGGGAGAAUAAGCUCCGGCUAACUCCGUGCCAGCCGCCGCAGUAA